rnacentral:rRNA from 1 species
GAUGAACGCUGGCGGCGUGCCUAAUACAUGCAAGUCGAGCGAACAGAUGAGGAGCUUGCUCCUCUGACGUUAGCGGCGGACGGGUGAGUAACACGUGGAUAACCUACCUAUAAGACUGGGAUAACUUCGGGAAACCGGAGCUAAUACCGGAUAAUAUAUUGAACCGCAUGGUUCAAUAGUGAAAGACGGUUUUGCUGUCACUUAUAGAUGGAUCCGCGCCGCAUUAGCUAGUUGGUAAGGUAACGGCUUACCAAGGCAACGAUGCGUAGCCGACCUGAGAGGGGGAUCGGCCACACGGGAACUGAGACACGGUCCAGACUCCUACGGGAGGCAGCAGUAGGGAAUCUUCCGCAAUGGGCGAAAGCCUGACGGAGCAACGCCGCGUGAGUGAUGAAGGUCUUCGGAUCGGAAAACUCUGUUAUUAGGGAAGAACAAAUGUGUAAGUAACUAUGCACGUCUUGACGGUACCUAGUCAGAAAGCCACGGCUAACUACGUG